UUGCGCAAUGGGCGAAACCUGACGCAGCGACGCCGCGUGGGGGAUGAAGGCCCUCGGGUUGUAAACCCCUUUCGGCAGGGACGAAGCGAUCGUGACGGUACCUGCAGAAGAAGCCUCGGCUAACUACGUGCCAGCAGCCGCGGUAAGACGUAGGAGGCGAGCGUUGCCCGGAUUCAUUGGGCGUAAAGAGCGCGCAGGGGGGCUCGGUCAGUCGGAUGURAAAACCCGGGGCUCAACCCCGGGCAUGCAUCCGGAUACUGCCGGGCUAGAGGUAGGUAGGGGAGACCGGAAUUCCUGGUGUAGCGGUGAAAUGCGCAGAUAUCAGGAGGAACACCGGUGSCGAAGCCGGAUCUCUGGGCCUUACCUGCACGCUCAGGCGCGAAACCCAGGGGAGCGAACAGGAUUAGAUACCCUGGUAGUCCUAGCCGUAAACGUUGGGUGCUAGGUGUGGGCGCAUAUCGACCCGUCCGUGCCGAAGCUAACGCAUUAAGCACCCCGCCUGGGGAGUACGSSCGCAAGGCUAAAACUCAAAGGAAUUGACGGGGSCCCGCACAAGCGGCGGAGCAUGCGGCUUAAUUCGAUGCGACGCGAAGAACCUUACCUGGGUUUGACAUGCAGGGUGAAACCCGUGAAAGCGGGCGCUCUUCGGAGCCUGCACAGGUGGUGCAUGGCUGUCGUCAGCUCGUGCCGUGAGGUGUUGCCUUAAGUGCCSRACGAGCSGCAACCCCUCUCCUUAGUUGCCAGCGGAUCAUGCCGGGAAUUCUAGGGAUACUGCCGGUGCCAAACCGGAGGAAGGUGGGGAUGACGUCAAGUCAUCAUGUAUAUUAAGCCCAGGGCUGCACGCAUGCUACAAUGCGCGAUACAGAGGGCUGCGAUCCCGUGAGGGGGAGCGAAUCCCACAAAUUCGCGCUCAGUUCGGAUCGAGGUCUGCAACCCGACCUCGUGAAGUCGGAGUCGCU
rnacentral:rRNA from 1 species